CCUACGGGUGGCAGCAGUGGGGAAUAUUGGACAAUGGGCGAAAGCCUGAUCCAGCCAUGCCGCGUGUGUGAAGAAGGCCUUCGGGUUGUAAAGCACUUUCAGUGGGGAAGAAAGCCUUGGGGCUAAUACCCUCGAGGAAGGACAUCACCCACAGAAGAAGCACCGGCUAACUCCGUGCCAGCAGCCGCGGUAAUACGGAGGGUGAGAGCGUUAAUCGGAAUUACUGGGCGUAAAGCGCGCGUAGGCGGUCUGAUAAGCCGGUUGUGAAAGCCCCGGGCUCAACCUGGGAACGGCAUCCGGAACUGUCAGGCUAGAGUGCAGGAGAGGAAGGUAGAAUUCCCGGUGUAGCGGUGAAAUGCGUAGAGAUCGGGAGGAAUACCAGUGGCGAAGGCGGCCUUCUGGACUGACACUGACGCUGAGGUGCGAAAGCGUGGGUAGCAAACAGGAUUAGAUACCCGGGUAGUC
rnacentral:rRNA from 1 species